UACGUAGGGUGCGAGCGUUGUCCGGAAUUAUUGGGCGUAAAGAGCUUGUAGGCGGUUUGUCGCGUCUGCCGUGAAAAUUCGAGGCUCAACCUCGAACUUGCGGUGGGUACGGGCAGACUAGAGUGUGGUAGGGGAGACUGGAAUUCCUGGUGUAGCGGUGAAAUGCGCAGAUAUCAGGAGGAACACCGGUGGCGAAGGCGGGUCUCUGGGCCGAUACUGACGCUGAGGAGCGAAAGCGUGGGUAGCGAACAGG
rnacentral:rRNA from 1 species